rnacentral:misc_RNA from 1 species
AGAGUUGCAAAACUCCCACAACCAUUCGUGAACGUACUGAAAAGUUGCUUCGGCGGGGCUCUCGGACGGACCGCCGGAGGAGAUACCAAACUCUUGGUUUUUUGGCAUCUCUGAGUAUGCUUAUAAAUAAGUUA